GUAAAAAAUUUAUAAGAAUAUGAUGUUGGUUCAGAUUAAGCGCUAAAUAAGGACAUGACACAUGCGAAUCAUACGUUUAUUAUUGAUAAGAUAAUAAAUAUGUGGUGUAAACGUGAGUAAUUUUAUUAGGAAUUAAUGAACUAUAGAAUAAGCUAAAUACUUAAUAUAUUAUUAUAUAAAAAUAAUUUAUAUAAUAAAAAGGAUAUAUAUAUAAUAUAUAUUUAUCUAUAGUCAAGCCAAUAAUGGUUUAGGUAGUAGGUUUAUUAAGAGUUAAACCUAGCCAACGAUCCAUAAUCGAUAAUGAAAGUUAGAACGAUCACGUUGACUCUGAAAUAUAGUCAAUAUCUAUAAGAUACAGCAGUGAGGAAUAUUGGACAAUGAUCGAAAGAUUGAUCCAGUUACUUAUUAGGAUGAUAUAUAAAAAUAUUUUAUUUUAUUUAUAAAUAUUUAAUAUUUAUAAUAAUAAUAAUAAUAAUAUAUAUAUAUAAAUUGAUUAAAAAUAAAAUCCAUAAAUAAUUAAAAUAAUGAUAUUAAUUACCAUAUAUAUUUUUAUAUGGAUAUAUAUAUUAAUAAUAAUAUUAAUUUUAUUAUUAUUAAUAAUAUAUUUUAAUAGUCCUGACUAAUAUUUGUGCCAGCAGUCGCGGUAACACAAAGAGGGCGAGCGUUAAUCAUAAUGGUUUAAAGGAUCCGUAGAAUGAAUUAUAUAUUAUAAUUUAGAGUUAAUAAAAUUAAUUAAAGAAUUAUAAUAGUAAAGAUGAAAUAAUAAUAAUAAUUAUAAGACUAAUAUAUGUGAAAAUAUUAAUUAAAUAUUAACUGACAUUGAGGGAUUAAAACUAGAGUAGCGAAACGGAUUCGAUACCCGUGUAGUUCUAGUAGUAAACUAUGAAUACAAUUAUUUAUAAUAUAUAUUAUAUAUAAAUAAUAAAUGAAAAUGAAAGUAUUCCACCUGAAGAGUACGUUAGCAAUAAUGAAACUCAAAACAAUAGACGGUUACAGACUUAAGCAGUGGAGCAUGUUAUUUAAUUCGAUAAUCCACGACUAACCUUACCAUAUUUUGAAUAUUAUAAUAAUUAUUAUAAUUAUUAUAUUACAGGCGUUACAUUGUUGUCUUUAGUUCGUGCUGCAAAGUUUUAGAUUAAGUUCAUAAACGAACAAAACUCCAUAUAUAUAAUUUUAAUUAUAUAUAAUUUUAUAUUAUUUAUUAAUAUAAAGAAAGGAAUUAAGACAAAUCAUAAUGAUCCUUAUAAUAUGGGUAAUAGACGUGCUAUAAUAAAAUGAUAAUAAAAUUAUAUAAAAUAUAUUUAAUUAUAUUUAAUUAAUAAUAUAAAACAUUUUAAUUUUUAAUAUAUUUUUUUAUUAUAUAUUAAUAUGAAUUAUAAUCUGAAAUUCGAUUAUAUGAAAAAAGAAUUGCUAGUAAUACGUAAAUUAGUAUGUUACGGUGAAUAUUCUAACUGUUUCGCACUAAUCACUCAUCACGCGUUGAAACAUAUUAUUAUCUUAUUAUUUAUAUAAUAUUUUUUAAUAAAUAUUAAUAAUUAUUAAUUUAUAUUUAUUUAUAUCAGAAAUAAUAUGAAUUAAUGCGAAGUUGAAAUACAGUUACCGUAGGGGAACCUGCGGUGGGCUUAUAAAUAUCUUAAAUAUUCUUACA
rnacentral:ncRNA from 12 species